rnacentral:rRNA from 1 species
UACAGAGGUCUCAAGCGUUGUUCGGAUUCAUUGGGCGUAAAGGGUGCGUAGGUGGUGCCGUAAGUCGGGUGUGAAAAUCUCGGGGCUCAACCCCCGAAACUGCACUUGAUACUGCGGUGCUCGAGGACUGGAGAGGAGAUCGGAAUUCAUGGUGUAGCAGUGAAAUGCGCAGAUAUCAGGAGGAACACCAAUGGCGAAGGCAGCACUCUGGGACGUGACUGACGCUGAGACGCGAAAGCGUGGGGAGCAAACAGG